GCGACCACUUCGGUGGUGAGCGGCGAACGGGUGAGUAACACGUAGGUGAUCUGCCCAUCAGACGGGGACAACGAUUGGAAACGAUCGCUAAUACCGGAUAGGACGAAAGUUUAAAGGUGCUUCUGGCACCGCUGAUGGAUGAGCCUGCGGCGCAUUAGCUAGUUGGUAGGGUAAAGGCCUGCCAAGGCGACGAUGCGUAGCCGACCUGAGAGGGUGAACGGCCACACUGGGACUGAGACACGGCCCAGACUCCUACGGGAGGCAGCAGUAGGGAAUCUUCGGCAAUGGGCGAAAGCCUGACCGAGCAACGCCGCGUGAAUGAUGAAGGCCUUCGGGUUGUAAAAUUCUGUUAUAAGGGAAGAACGACUUUAGUAGGAAAUGGCUAGAGUGUGACGGUACCUUAUGAGAAAGCCACGGCUAACUACGUGCCAGCAGCCGCGGUAAUACGUAGGUGGCGAGCGUUAUCCGGAAUUAUUGGGCGUAAAGAGCGCGCAGGUGGUUGAUUAAGUCUGAUGUGAAAGCCCACGGCUUAACCGUGGAGGGUCAUUGGAAACUGGUCGACUUGAGUGCAGAAGAGGGAAGUGGAAUUCCAUGUGUAGCGGUGAAAUGCGUAGAGAUAUGGAGGAACACCAGUGGCGAAGGCGGCUUCCUGGUCUGUAACUGACACUGAGGCGCGAAAGCGUGGGGAGCAAACAGGAUUAGAUACCCUGGUAGUCCACGCCGUAAACGAUGAGUGCUAAGUGUUGGGGGUCGAACCUCAGUGCUGAAGUUAACGCAUUAAGCACUCCGCCUGGGGAGUAC
rnacentral:rRNA from 1 species